GGGCGAAUGGUGGAACUGGUAGACGCGUUGGACUCAAAAUCCAAUGGUAGCAAUACCUUGAGAGUUCGAGUCUCUCUUCGCCCACCA
rnacentral:tRNA from 1 species